rnacentral:rRNA from 1 species
AUACGGAGGUUGCAAGCGUUACUCGGAAUCACUGGGCGUAAAGCGCGCGCAGGCGGCUAUUUAAGUUGGAUGUGAAAGCCUACGGCUCAACCGUAGAACUGCAUCCAAAACUAUUUAGCUAGAGUGUGGGAGAGGAAGAUGGAAUUAGUUGUGUAGGGGUAAAAUCCGUAGAGAUAACUAGGAAUACCAAAAGCGAAGGCAAUCUUCUGGAACACUACUGACGCUGAGGCGCGAAAGCGUGGGGAGCAAACAGGAUUAGAAACCCUAGUAGUCC